GCCGAAAUAGCUCAGUUGGGAGAGCGUUAGACUGAAGUUCUGAAGGUCCCUGGUUCGAUCCCGGGUUUCGGCA
rnacentral:tRNA from 1 species